GACGAACGCUGGCGGCAUGCCUAAUACAUGCAAGUCGAGCGAACAGAUGAAGUGCUUGCACUUCUGACGUUAGCGGCGAACGGGUGAGUAACACGUAAGGAAUCUACCUAUAAGCGGGGGAUAACAUUCGGAAACGGGUGCUAAUACCGCAUAAUAUCUUCUUCCGCAUGGAAGAAGAUUGAAAGACGGCUCUGCUGUCACUUAUAGAUGACCUUGCGGUGCAUUAGUUAGUUGGUGGGGUAAUGGCCUACCAAGACGAUGAUGCAUAGCCGACCGGAGAGGGUGAUCGGCCACAUUGGGACUGCGACACGGCCCAAACUCCGACGGGAGGCAGCAGUAGGGAAUCUUCCGCAAUGGGCGAAAGCCUGACGGAGCAAUGCCGCGUGAGUGAAGAAGGCCUUCGGGUCGUAAAACUCUGUUAUAAGAGAAGAACAAAUUGUAGAGUAACUGCUACAGUCUUGACGGUAUCUUAUCAGAAAGCCACGGCUAACUACGUGCCAGCAGCCGCGGUAA
rnacentral:rRNA from 1 species